rnacentral:tRNA from 32 species
GAGGAGGGGCGGAUGUAGCCAAGUGGAUCAAGGCAGUGGAUUGUGA